UACGUAGGGUGCAAGCGUUGUCCGGAAUUAUUGGGCGUAAAGAGCUCGUAGGCGGUUUGUCGCGUCGAAUGUGAAAACCCGGGGCUCAACCCCGGGCCUGCAUUCGAUACGGGCAGACUAGAGUUCGGUAGGGGAGUCUGGAAUUCCUGGUGUAGCGGUGAAAUGCGCAGAUAUCAGGAGGAACACCGGUGGCGAAGGCGGGACUCUGGGCCGAUAUUGACGCUGAGGAGCGAAAGCGUGGGGAGCAAACAGG
rnacentral:rRNA from 1 species